rnacentral:rRNA from 1 species
AGAACGAACGCUGGCGGCAUGCCUAACACAUGCAAGUCGAACGCUCUUGGGGCUUCGGUCUCAGGGGAGUGGCGCACGGGUGAGUAGCGCGUGGGAACCUGCCCUGUUGUGGGGGAUAACCGAGGGAAACUUCGGCUAAUACCGCAUAAGCCGGUUGUCUUGAAGGAGAUGGCCGGGAAAGAUUUAUCGCGACAGGAGGGGCCCGCGUCGGAUUAGCUAGUUGGUGGGGUAACGGCCCACCAAGGCGGUGAUCCGUAGCUGGUCUGAGAGGAUGAUCAGCCACACUGGGACUGAGACACGGCCCAGACUCCUACGGGAGGCAGCAGUGGGGAAUAUUGGACAAUGGGCGCAAGCCUGAUCCAGCAAUGCCGCGUGAGUGAUGAAGGCCUUAGGGUUGUAAAGCUCUUUCGCCCGCGACGAUGAUGACGGUAGCGGGAGAAGAGCCCGGCUAACUCGUGCCAGCAGCCGC